GACGAACGCUGGCGGCGUGCCUAAUACAUGCAAGUCGGGCGAAGAACUUCGGUUCUUAGCGGCGAACGGGUGAGUAACACGUGGGCAACCUGGCCUUAAGCCUGGGAUAACACCGGGAAACCGGUGCUAACACCAGAUAAUCUUUUUUUCCGCAUGGGAGAGAAGUAAAAGUUUACACUUAAGGAUGGGCCCGCGGUGCAUUAGCUAGUUGGUGGGGUAACGGCCUACCAAGGCAACGAUGCAUAGCCGACCUGCGAGGGUGACCGGCCACACUGGAACGGAGACACGGCCCAGACUCCUACGGGAGGCAGCAGUAGGGAAUUUUCCGCAAUGGGGGCAACCCUGACGGAGCAACGCGGCGUGAGUGAAGACGGCCUUCGGGUUGUAAGCUCUGUCCUUGGGGAAGAAAACAAUGACGGUACCCAAGCAGAAAGCCCUGGCUAACUACGUGCCAGCAGCCGCAGUAA
rnacentral:rRNA from 1 species